rnacentral:rRNA from 1 species
AUUGAACGCUGGCGGCAUGCCUUACACAUGCAAGUCGAACGGCAGCACGGGGCAACCUGGUGGCGAGUGGCGAACGGGUGAGUAAUGCAUCGGAACGUACCUUUCAGUGGGGGAUAACGUAGCGAAAGUUACGCUAAUACCGCAUAUUCUGUGAGCAGGAAAGCAGGGGAUCGCAAGACCUUGCGCUGAUUGAGCGGCCGAUGUCAGAGUAGCUAGUUGGUGAGGUAAAGGCUCACCAAGGCGACGAUCUGUAGCGGGUCUGAGAGGAUGAUCCGCCACACUGGAACUGAGACACGGUCCAGACUCCUACGGGAGGCAGCAGGGGGGAAUUUUGGACAAUGGGGGCAACCCUGAUCCAGCCAUGCCGCGUGAGUGAAGAAGGCCUUCGGGUUGUAAAGCUCUUUCGGCCGGGAAGAAAUCGCACGGGCUAAUACCCUGUGUGGAUGACGGUACCGGAAUAAGAAGCACCGGCUAACUACGUGCCAGCAGCCGCCGUAAUAC